rnacentral:rRNA from 1 species
CGCGACCCCAGGUCAGGCGGGACUACCCGCUGAGUUUAAGCAUAUAAAUAAGCGGAG